UGACUAAAAUGAAGUCUUAAAACAAAGACAAAAUAUUGACAGUUUACUUUGAAAUAUCUCGUUUGCAAGUUUACCGCAAUGCUUGCUAUACACACGCAAAGUAAAUCAAACCAAAGUCCUCCUAACCAGGUGACGUCACCGAGGAAGUUCACCGCCUCCUUGACCCUUUCGCGAGACAAACUCACUUGGAUGAAGGUGAUGACGACGAUGAUGGCCACCUCGGGUCACAUGACAGCUUGGUCAGGUCAACGGUUGGCCAAAUAAUAGUGACCACAGCAAGUAUCGUCUGGUUGCGGACUGCCCAGUUGGAGAAGAUAAACGAGAAGAUCAUCAGUCCUCAGUACUGUAGAAGGUGCUGUUCUGCCGGGCCAGGAAGUAGUCCAGUUUCUUCUUCUGCUGUUUGGGCCUUAAAAGAACGUAGAGGAAGAUAGAGACCACUGCCAGGAAACAGGAAGCGGCCACGGCAGAGACCACCAUCCAGACGCGUAAUAAAGACGUUCUUGUGAUGUUUGGAGUGUCCCUGAAUGCAUCUCGCGGUCGUGUGAUGACAAUGAGGAAGUGUUGUUCCGACGACGGAGGGACUAAAGACGUGUUUGGCACGUCCAUCCAGGUAGGACGACUCCACCGUCAGGCCGUUGACCAACCACGAGAUGGCGGUGGUUCUGGCAAAGUCGCAUGCGGUCAGAACCUUGCAGUGCACUUCCAGCGCAGAACCUGAACAACAACAACCACCA